GACGAACGCUGGCGGCAGGCUUAACACAUGCAAGUCGAGCGCCCCGCAAGGGGAGCGGCAGACGGGUGAGUAACGCGUGGGAAUCUACCCAUCUCUACGGAAUAACGCAUGGAAACGUGUGCUAAUACCGUAUACGUCCUUCCGGAGAAAGAUUUAUCGGAGAUGGAUGAGCCCGCGUUGGAUUAGCUAGUUGGUGGGGUAAAGGCCUACCAAGGCGACGAUCCAUAGCUGGUCUGAGAGGAUGAUCAGCCACACUGGGACUGAGACACGGCCCAGACUCCUACGGGAGGCAGCAGUGGGGAAUAUUGGACAAUGGGCGCAAGCCUGAUCCAGCCAUGCCGCGUGAGUGAUGAAGGCCCUAGGGUUGUAAAGCUCUUUCACCGGUGAAGAUAAUGACGGUAACCGGAGAAGAAGCCCCGGCUAACUUCGUGCCAGCCGCCGCCGUAAAAC
rnacentral:rRNA from 1 species